rnacentral:misc_RNA from 1 species
AAGUCGUAACAAGGUUUCCGUAGGUGAACCUGCGGAAGGAUCACUAGUGAUUAAAUCGAGAGCGUCUUCAUUGACCUCUCACCCUUCACAUCCACAUACACCUGUGCACCGUUUGGCUCUUAUAAAAGACGCAAGUCUGUAAUGAGAGUCAUCAAUUUUAUACAUACCCCAGUCUUAUGAAUGUAACAGUUUUAAUAAACAUAAUAAAACUUUUAACAACGGAUCUCUUGGUUCUC